CAGGGUUUUAGCCGUCUACAUAAUAAGGAUGUAUUUUAUUUAUGACACAUUAUAUUGUUGUAAUUUUGCAGUAUUUGUGCGAGAAAGCCUCGUAGAGCGGAGGUGAUUUCCCCACUUUUGUCCUGCCUUGAACGCAGCAGAGGAAGAAGAAGCUAACCGCUAAGCUAGUUAGCAUUCCUGCUCACAGUGAAGGUAGCCCUCGGCGUGGAUGACGCACUGGCCGGACUGCUGCAGCUUGUGCGUCUCCAUCCUCUCCGAGAUGCCUCGCAGCAGACGCAGCUCGCCGAAGUUCUCGGCGACGCCCUCGGGGGACCUCAGGCUGUUGCGGCCCUGGUGGACCGGCACGGAGGGCUGCGACAUCUCCAAGUCCAGCGCCUGGUUUCUGGGUCGGGGGGCGUGGCCACCUGCUCAUCUCCUCCUGACUACGUAAGCUCUCCAGUCCCUUCACUCGACGCCAGUAGCAGUGUUCAUUUUCACACCCAUUUUUUUAUUUAGUUUUAGUUAUAGUCUUUUUUAGUUUUAGUCAUAUUGUUGUCAUCUAAAUUAAUUUAGUUUUAGUCGACGAAAUUCCUCAACAUUUUAGUCGACUAAAAUGACAGUAAAUUCAGUCAACUAAAAUAUAAAGUGUAGCGGACAACGUAUCUUUGAAGUUGUCUUGUAAGCACUUAAUUUUUAUUGCAGAUCCUCUUAAAAAACUCAAAAAGAAUGUUUCAAUAAGUACA